rnacentral:rRNA from 1 species
CACGUAGGGCGCGAGCGUUGUCCGGAAUUAUUGGGCGUAAAGAGCUCGUAGGCGGCCUGUUGCGUCCGCUGUGAAAGCCCGGGGCUUAACCCCGGGUCGGCAGUGGAUACGGGCAGGCUAGAGGUAGGUAGGGGAGAAUGGAAUUCCCGGUGUGGCGGUGAAAUGCGCAGAUAUCGGGAGGAACACCGGUGGCGAAGGCGGUUCUCUGGGCCUUACCUGACGCUGAGGAGCGAAAGCAUGGGGAGCGAACAGG